GAACUGUAAGGAUCUGAAGUUCGAGGGCUGAACUGGACAUUUUACCAGCAGGGCGUUUAAAUGACAGAAUCGCCCCUGGAAGUUUCAGUAAGUUGCAAAGAAGUAAACAGAGCAUACUCGGUCGUUUGAGCUCAUAACGACACACCGGCUGAGGCUGUGGUUUAGUGGUCGCAAGGGGAAUCAUCUCAGAGAUAUUUCUGAGAAGUCAACUCAUCAAUGAGGUGGGUUGGUUUAAAGAGGUAAUAUCCUGUCGUUGCAGUAGGUUAUAUUAAGUUAGAUAACUGGAUGCAUUUAAUUUAUGUCAUGAUUCCAUGAUUGAGUAUUUAUUUGUGAGAUGCUAUUACUUUGAUGUUGUGCAAGUUAUGCCUCCUAUAUAACUAUAAGUUUAGACUAGUGAUAAUGUUAACACUAUGAUAAGGUUAUACUAACAUUAAUGUUAGAUGAUGAUAAGAUUAGACAUGACCAGUGAUGAGAAACAAGAACACCUCACCUAGAUGUGUAAUAGGUGCAUUUAAAAUAUGAAACUCACUAGCUAGACCACCGCCUCUUGUGAUUCGGGCAACAGUUUUGCCCACUGGGCUGAGUUUUGCCCCCAUGAUUUACGGGCCACAAUUUUCCCUCUACGAUUAAUGAUACCAUUGGAUGAAAACGUAGUCUCAUACCUCCAUGAUCUUAGCACUAGGGCGGUGGGUUAGUUAGUUGAGUUGGGGGACGCCCCCAAAACAUAAGAUAAUUUAGAUAAGGUCAAUGAUAGCACAAGAAUCGAAGUCAUGUAAAUUGACUUCCUCAAGAAUGAUGUUUAUGAUAUGACAAGUUAUAAGAACUAUAAUUCUAUGAUUCAUAAUGCACCUAACUUGAUUUACUUUAGCUUCAAUCUUUCAUGAUGAUUCCUUGAUGAUGAUUAGUUGUUGAUGAUGCCUUGUUGAUGAUUAAUGGCUUGUCAUGUUUAGUUAUUACUUAUGAUAGGAUUACAUAAAGAGGACUACUUUAUGUAAUAUGGUUACUCAGUUAGUACUUAUGAAUCUAUAUGUGUUCUUAUUUUUCUAUGUUUAGUUAUGAUGCUCAUAUGAUAAGCCUAUAUGAUUAAUCUAGAGUAUGAGGUGAUUAGAUACCUAGUGAACAACAAGAACUAGUCUAAGUCUAGACGAUUAAUAGAUGAUCUAGUAGUAUUUACCUCUCUUGCUAGACUUACGAUCUAUGAUGUCGGCGUACGAUUUGGACCAAUAGAGAUCCAAUACUUAUUGAAUUGGGACACUAGGGACCCCUACGAUUAGACAUUGGGCCACUAGAGACCCUUAUGUUCAUAUUAGGUCAUUAGAGGCCCAUAGUUCCUCUUAGCCUGUCAAGUGGAUGGUAUGACUAGUUAGUUGAGUUUGAGAAUGAUUAUAGUUAUGAUAUCAUAAAAGGAUGAUGUUAGUAAAAGUUAGACAACCUUAGUAUUGAUUGCAUAGUAGAAGAAAUUAAUAUGAACUCUUUAUGAUAAGAUGAAGUUUAAUAUGAAUAAUGUGUUAGUAGUGCCUUCAUAUUAAUUUUGUUAUAAUUAGAGCACAAAAGACUAACCCCGAGCCACCCACCAUGGUGUUUUGAUAGUUGAUGCAGGAGCAGAGAGAUGCUGAUUCGGGAGGUGACGAUGUGGACAUAUGUUUAAGAAAUUUUCAUGUUGAGACUUGUUUUCAAUCUUUAUGAGCAUUUACUAGUAGUCAGUUAUUUACAAAGAUUUCUAUCUUAUUUUUUUAUUUUAUUUUAAAGUUUCAUGGCCAGGGCAUUUUGGUCAUUUGAUAAUUCAAAAGAAAUGAGGGUG
rnacentral:lncRNA from 1 species